GCGUUGUCCGGAAUCACUGGGCGUAAAGGGCGCGUAGGCGGCCUGGUAAGUAGGGGGUGAAAUCCUGCGGCUUACCCGCAGGGCGGCCUUCUAAACUGUCAGGCUAGAGCACAGUAGAGGCAGGUGGAAUUCCCGGUGUAUCGGUGGAAUGCGUAGAGACCGGGAGGAACAUCAGUGGCGAGGGCGGCCUGCCGGGCUGUUGCUGACGCUGAGGCGCAACAGCGUG
rnacentral:rRNA from 1 species